rnacentral:rRNA from 1 species
UGAGGAACAUGACCCUCGGCGGGGGAUAGCCGGCCCAACGGCCGGGUAAUACCGCGUACGACCUUUCGGGGACAUCCCUGAUUGGUGAAAGCAGCAAUGCGCCGAAAGAGUGCCUCGCGGCCUAUCAGCUAGUUGGUGAGGUAACGGCUCACCAAGGCAACGAUGCGUAGCCGACCUGAGAGGGUGAUCGGCCACAUUGGAACUGAGACACGGUCCAGACCUCCGUACGGGAGGNAGCG